rnacentral:rRNA from 1 species
AGAGUUUGAUCCUGGCUCAGGACGAACGCUGACGGUGUGCUUUAGACAUGCAAGUCGAACGAGAAAGCCCUUCGGGGUGAGUACAGUGGCGAACGGGUGAGUAACACGUGGGCAAUCUGCCCCUCGCAGGGGGACAACCGGGGGAAACCCCGGCUAAUACCCCGUACGCUUACGGAGCCGCAUGGCUCCGUAAGGAGAGGUAGCUUCGGCCAUCCGGCGAGAGAUGAGCCCGCGGUACAUUAGCUAGUUGGUGAGGUAACGGCUCACCAAGGCGACGAUGUAUAGCUGGUCUGAGAGGAUGAUCAGCCACACUGGGACUGAGACACGGCCCAGACUCCUACGGGAGGCAGCAGUCGGGAAUCUUGCGCAAUGGGCGAAAGCCUGACGCAGCAACACCGUGUGAGCGACGAAGGCCUUCGGGUCGUAAAGCUCUGUUGUUGGGGACGAAGGGUUAGGGGUUAAUAGCCCCGAGCCUGACGGUACCCUUCGAGGAAGCCCCGGCUAACUACGUGCCAGCAGCCGCGGUAAUACGUAGGGGGCGAGCGUUGUCCGGAAUUAUUGGGCGUAAAGAGCGUGUAGGCGGUUCGGUAAGUCUGCCGUGAAAACCCAGGGCUCAACCCUGGGCGUGCGGUGGAUACUGCCGGGCUAGAGGGUGGUAGAGGCGAGUGGAAUUCCCGGUGUAGCGGUGAAAUGCGCAGAUAUCGGGAGGAACACCAGUAGCGAAGGCGGCUCGCUGGGCCACACCUGACGCUGAGACGCGAAAGCGUGGGGAGCAAACAGGAUUAGAUACCCCAGUAGUCC